rnacentral:rRNA from 1 species
GACGAACGCUGGCGGCGUGCUUAACACAUGCAAGUCGAACGGAAAGGCCCUGCUUUUGUGGGGUGCUCGAGUGGCGAACGGGUGAGUAAAACGUGAGUAACCUGCCCCUGACUGUGGGAUAACUCUUGGAAACUGGGGAGAAUAUCGGAUAGGAGCUCUUGCUGCACGGGGGGGGUUGGAAAGUGUCGGCGGUGGGGGAUGGACUCGCGGCUUAUGAGCUUGAUGGGGGAGUAGUGGCUUACCAAGGCUUUGACGGGUAGCCGGCCUGGGAGGGGGGCCAGCCUCCUUGGGCCUGCGGUACGGCGCAGACUCGUACGGGCGGCAGCAGUGGAGAGUAUUGCGGAACGGGCGGGAGCGUGAUGUGGCAGCGCCGCGAGCGGAAUGACGUCCUUCGGGUGGUAAACAGAUGUGUCCUGUAAUGAAGACUGCGUGACGGUAAUGAGUAAGAAAGCACCGGCUAACUACGUG